UUUUUUUUUUUUUUUUCGUGGUAGUCGAUCGCUAAAGAAUUGUAAUUUUCACAUGCAAUAAAGUGUGGAAAAUGAUUGAAAUAAAUGAAGAUGUCUUCUUGUUUUUCGACCAGGCGGAUGUGACAUCAAUUUUCUGGUUUUCUAUGGCUAAAGAAAUAUUUAUGCAUUUGUCAUAUACUGUAGUAUAUAAAUAAUUAUUAUAACUUGAUUUUUUUUUUUUUGAACACUAUUACAACUUGAUUAAAAUGGAAGAAUUACAAGUUUACAACAAUAAUGAAAAGACCAUAAAAUGUUCAUUGGGACACAUGAUAAAAAAAAA